UUUUUGAAAUUUGCUGAGCCAAUCUUUAUAAUUGGGUUUGGUCAAACGGUUGUUCUAUAGGAUAUGAGUUAAGAGUUUAGAAGCUGACUUUAUAAUCCUCAGAGAGUAAAGAUUCUAGUUAGACUUUUGUACUUGAUCCUAAUCUGUUCUAAGGUCUUUUAGAACAAAUAUAACUCCCACUAUUUUCUCGAAUUCCUCACACUCCCC
rnacentral:lncRNA from 1 species